ACACACACACACACACACACAUAUACAUAUAUAUAUCUUCUCAGCACCACCUUCCAUGUUUUUAUUAUUAUUCUUUCCACUUCAUCUUGAGCAAGAAAGUGUAGAAAACUUGAUCAGGAUACCCUCAUGUCAGGUGAAAGUAGGACUACAUCACUUGGACGAGCGCUGCUCAUUUACUCUUCUCCUGUAGACUUGGUUUACACAUUAAAUAUGUGUUUGUAUGUUAAGAGAGCCUGCUAGUGUAACUUAUAGGGUAUUUAUGUAUAUUUUCCCACUCAAUUGUAACACUAUUUUAUGUACAUGAAAUCGAUUUUGUAUCUUUACAGAUACACCCCAUUCAAUUCAAUGCAUUACUGAUUUGAGUAAAGGCACGAGAGCAAAUGUCGGUAUAUAAACGGCGGGUUUGCGAUGCGUUCUUCAGUUGGCAGUUACACAUAGAGUAAAGCCACUGAAGACCAGCAAGAUCACCGUUUGUUUUUCAUUUAUUCUUUCAGUUGUCCCCCGAGAGCAAGCCAGAUGCUGGUGUAUUAAAAGGACAGCAUGUGAGGCGACAGCGGCAAGAAAAAACUCCCUCAGAGAGAAAGAAACCUUGGGAGGAACCAGGCUCUCGGGGGGCCCAUCCUCCUACGGGCUGGGGGAUCCUCAGGCUGCUCCUGGCCACGUCAGCUCCUGGCCACGUUGGCUCCUAGCAUCUUCAUCCAUCAUCCGCCGUCAACCUCAAUGCUUACUCUGCAGGUGGUGAGCAUUGAGAAUACAGACAAGAGACUCACAGUAAAUACACUGGUGGUGUGUUUCAAACUGUCCCUCUUCUUCUGGACUUCAGUGCAGGAUGUGACAGCGUUGUCUUCUUACCUGUCUCUUGUGGAACAGGAUGUAGGCCGAUUUCUGCCGCUCCCUACACACAGACACACUGGUUGUCUCACUGACCGCUGCAUCGUUGAAGAUGACUGACGGUGCUGACCAUGCUGUAGCAGCCGCCAUCCUGAGAAUGAACCUGUUUGGAGGACACCACCAGCUCCCUGGUCAGCAUGACGGGGUCACGCACCUUCACCAGCUGCCAGGAAGGGGUGAAGCGGAAGCGCUUUAUGUGGAGGAUGAGCACACUGUAGAAGUAGAUAAAGAGAACAAGAUGGUUAGCAAAAUUAUUACUGCGUUAUAUUCUAUUUCCUGUUCUUAACAUUUUGCAUCUCAAGGAUCCUUUAGGGAUAAUGAAGAAUAACAUUAAUGAUGGAUGUGAUGU